rnacentral:rRNA from 1 species
UACAGAGGUCUCAAGCGUUGUUCGGAUUCAUUGGGCGUAAAGGGAGCGUAGGCGGACAUUUAAGUCAGGGGUGAAAUCCCAGAGCUCAACUCUGGAACUGCCUUUGAUACUGGGUGUCUUGAGUGUGAUAGAGGUAUGUGGAACUCCGAGUGUAGAGGUGAAAUUCGUAGAUAUUCGGAAGAACACCAGUGGCGAAGGCGACAUACUGGAUCAUUACUGACGCUGAGGCUCGAAAGCGUGGGGAGCAAACAGG